UAGAGUUUGAUCCUGGCUCAGAUUGAACGCUGGCGGCGUGCCUAACACAUGCAAGUCGAGCGGUAACAGGUGUAGCAAUACAUGCUGACGAGCGGCGGACGGGUGAGCAAUGUUUGGGAAUCUGCCUAUUAGUGGGGGACAACCCGGGGAAACUCGGGCUAAUACCGCAUACGCACUACGGUGGAAAGCCGGGGACCGCAAGGCCUGGCGCUAAUAGAUGAGCCCAAAUCGGAUUAGCUAGUUGGUGGGGUAAUGGCCCACCAAGGCGACGAUCCGUAGCUGGUCUGAGAGGACGACCAGCCACACCGGAACUGAGACACGGUCCGGACUCCUACGGGAGGCAGCAGUGGGGAAUAUUGGACAAUGGGCGAAAGCCUGAUCCAGCGACGCCGCGUGGGUGAAGAAGGCCUGCGGGUUGUAAAGCCCUUUCGGUGGGGAAGAAAAGCCUCGUUUUAAUACAGCGGGGUCUUGACGUAACCCAAGAAAGAAGCACCGGCUAACUCUGUGCCAGCAGCCGCGGUAAUACAGAGGGUGCGAGCGUUAAUCGGAAUUACUGGGCGUAAAGCACGCGUAGGCGGCUUUGCAAGUCGGGUGUGAAAUCCCCAGGCUUAACCUGGGAACUGCAUUCGAGACUGCAUUGCUAGAGUAUGGGAGAGGGAAGUGGAAUUUCCGGUGUAGCGGUGAAAUGCGUAGAUAUCGGAAGGAACAUCAGUGGCGAAAGCGACUUCCUGGACCAAUACUGACGCUCAUGUGCGAAAGCGUGGGGAGCAAACAGGAUUAGAUACCCUGGUAGUCCACGCCAUAAACGAUGA
rnacentral:rRNA from 1 species